CCUCCCGACCUUAGCUCAGUUGGUAGAGCGGAGGACUGUAGUCGUAAUUGAUAGUAAUCCUUAGGUCGCUGGUUCGAAUCCGGCAGGUCGGAU
rnacentral:tRNA from 1 species